rnacentral:rRNA from 1 species
CCUACGGGAGGCAGCAGUGGGGAAUAUUGCACAAUGGGCGCAAGCCUGAUGCAGCCAUGCCGCGUGUGUGAAGAAGGCCUUCGGGUUGUAAAGCACUUUCAGCGGGGAGGAAGGCGUUAAGGUUAAUAACCUUGGCGAUUGACGUUACCCGCAGAAGAAGCACCGGCUAACUCCGUGCCAGCAGCCGCGGUAAUACGGAGGGUGCAAGCGUUAAUCGGAAUUACUGGGCGUAAAGCGCACGCAGGCGGUCUGUCAAGUCGGAUGUGAAAUCCCCGGGCUCAACCUGGGAACUGCAUUCGAAACUGGCAGGCUAGAGUCUUGUAGAGGGGGGUAGAAUUCCAGGUGUAGCGGUGAAAUGCGUAGAGAUCUGGAGGAAUACCGGUGGCGAAGGCGGCCCCCUGGACAAAGACUGACGCUCAGGUGCGAAAGUGUGGGGAGCAAACAGGAUUAGAUACCCUAGUAGUC